GAUAUUUUUCUAAUCUUUUUUUACUCAUUUUUUGGUGAGAGCGAGAGUUUUGAAUUCUAGGCUCAGGACGAACGCUGGCGGCGUGCCUAAUACAUGCAAGUCGAACGCUUCUUUCCUCCCGAGUGCUUGCACUCAAUUGGAAAGAGGAGUGGCGGACGGGUGAGUAACACGUGGGUAACCUACCCAUCAGAGGGGGAUAACACUUGGAAACAGGUGCUAAUACCGCAUAACAGUUUAUGCCGCAUGGCAUAAGAGUGAAAGGCGCUUUCGGGUGUCGCUGAUGGAUGGACCCGCGGUGCAUUAGCUAGUUGGUGAGGUAACGGCUCACCAAGGCCACGAUGCAUAGCCGACCUGAGAGGGUGAUCGGCCACACUGGGACUGAGACACGGCCCAGACUCCUACGGGAGGCAGCAGUAGGGAAUCUUCGGCAAUGGACGAAAGUCUGACCGAGCAACGCCGCGUGAGUGAAGAAGGUUUUCGGAUCGUAAAACUCUGUUGUUAGAGAAGAACAAGGACGUUAGUAACUGAACGUCCCCUGACGGUAUCUAACCAGAAAGCCACGGCUAACUACGUGCCAGCAGCCGCGGUAAUACGUAGGUGGCAAGCGUUGUCCGGAUUUAUUGGGCGUAAAGCGAGCGCAGGCGGUUUCUUAAGUCUGAUGUGAAAGCCCCCGGCUCAACCGGGGAGGGUCAUUGGAAACUGGGAGACUUGAGUGCAGAAGAGGAGAGUGGAAUUCCAUGUGUAGCGGUGAAAUGGGUAGAUAUAUGGAGGAACACCAGUGGCGAAGGCGGCUCUCUGGUCUGUAACUGACGCGGAGGCUUCAAAAAAGA
rnacentral:rRNA from 1 species